rnacentral:SRP_RNA from 1 species
GCUGGGCAUGGUGGCGUAUGCCUGUAAUCCCAGCACUUUGGGAGGCUGAGGCGGGAGGAUCACCUGAGGUCAGGAGUUUGAGACUAGCCUGGCCAACAUGGUAAAACCCCGUCUCUA